CCAAGUUGCCAGAAGUCCCUGCUGCUGCUCCAGGGUGAUUAGGAACAAUUGUGAUGACAAGUAACUAGAAGUCCCUGCUGCAGCUCCAGGGUGAAGAGCAACACUUGCCAUCACAAGUUACCAGAAGUCCCUACUGCAGGUCCAGGGUGAAGAGGAACACUUGCCAUCACAAGUUACCAGAAGUCCCUGCUGUAGCUCCAGGGUGAAGAGGACCACGUGCCAUGAAAUGUUACCAGAAAUCUUUCCUGAAGCUAAUGGGUGAAGAAGACCAAUUUCGCUAAGAAAAUGCAGAAGCACAGCUGCAGCUUAGGGUGGAGAGAGGCCUUUGAUAUCAUAACAAAUCAGAGGUCUCAGUUGCAGCUCUGGGUUGGACAGAGGUCUUUGCUA